rnacentral:misc_RNA from 1 species
ACGAGCACCUUCAUAAACUUUAAUUUGAAAAUAGAUAACCGAUAUUCAUUGUAAAUUUGAUUGAUAAUAUAAUGAUUGAAUUAGUUGAAUUAAUUAUAUUUAAAUGAUGUGUUGUCAAGUGAAGCAAAUUAAUAAUAUUGUGAUUGGUCGAACUAUUCUAGUUAUUAAAUAAAUUUCUGACAUUUUUUAAACCAACCAAUCAGCGAUCGUGUUUUAUAAAGUGUAAGAAUUACAAAUUUCAAAUUAGAUAUAACACUUUCGAAAUAUAAAGUCUCAAAUUUAAUUAAAUUAUAAAUGAUAAACAGUCUUACAAUUAAUGUCGCCUAUGAUUAUAUAAACAAAACAAAAAUCAUAAGACAUUUAUUUCAAACUAUCUAUAAACAAACUUGAAUGUGUUUGGAAUUCCAAUGGCGUUAACAUGGUUACCCAAAAUUAUUUAGAAUCACGAAAAUGUUCCCUAACAGAUUCGUUUAAUAAAAGAUAUAUAAGACAAAGUUGCAUUUAAAAAAUCGUCAUGAUUGAUACAGACGAUGAGAUAGAAGCAUUAGAAAAUUUCCGAGAUGAUCAAGAAAAUAAUAAUCAAAAAAUAUUUAAUGAAAGUGGACCAAAAUAUUAUGAUUUAAAAACACAUAUUUCAAAACCUUUUCGUGUUCCAAAUGGUACUGUACCUAUAAAUAUUUUAGAAUUUGAUCAUUCUUUUUCAUACGAUUGUCAGAAAUAUUUUAAUUUUUGUGUAGCUGAUCCAAAUACAAUUAUUUUUGCUUCCGGUAAUAUAAUUCAUUUUUUAAAUGUAACUACAAGAACAAUAUGGUUUCAACGAGGUGCCACGGGAGGUGGAAUUGGACAUAUAACUAAAAAUCCAAUGUUUGAUCAUAUUGCUAUCGCUGAAAAUGGAAUUGAUCCAUUGAUAACUAUUUAUCAUUGGCCAAGUAUGGAAAUUGUAAUGUGCCUUCAUGGUGGUACAAAAGAACAAUAUUUUCAUUUACAUUAUAGUAUGGAUGGUUUAUUACUAGCUUCUCAAGGAGGAAAACCAGAUUAUUUUAUAACAAUUUGGAACUGGCAAGAAUCUAAGAUUUUAUUACAAUCUAAAUCGCACUCUCAGAAUGUUUAUAAUGUAUUUUUUUCUACAUAUAUACCCGGGAAUUUAAUUUCAUGUGGUUUGGGACAUAUUAAAUUUUGGAAAAUGGCAAAAACUUUUACUGGUCUUAAACUUGAAGGUCAACUCGGAAAGUUUGGAAGAACUGAAGUUUCAGAUAUUAUCGGUGCUUAUCAAAUGCCUGAUAAAAAGGUAGUAUCAGGUUGCGAAUGGGGUAAUAUUUUGCUAUGGGAUGAAAAUUUGAUUAAAUUGGAAAUUUCUAGAAAAAAUAAAGAAUUUUGUCAUACAAAACCUAUUGUACAAUUAGAAUAUAUCAAUGCAGAGCUCUUCACUGUUGGGAUGGAUGGUUUCAUACGUGUUUGGUUUUAUGAUACUAUAGAUUUGGCAAAUCCAACAGAAGAAGAUCCAUUUCUUGAAAUGCAACCAAUUUAUGAGUUUUGCAUCACUGAGGAUGAAAACAAAAAUUCACAAAAAAAUGCAAUGCUAAUGGGCAUACAAAGACAAGAGCCAGAUAAUCCUGAGAAUACUUUUUGGUAUGCUCAGGAUGGCAAUGGUGGUUUAUGGCUAAUAGAUUUGAAUACUUUUAAAGAACCAGAAUUAUCACAAAAAAUAUUUACUUGUCAUGCAGGAGCAAUAAGCGAUAUGGAUGUUGCAGACUGGGGACCGUACGUUGCAACUAUUGAUAUAACUGGUCAUUUACAUAUUUAUAAUUACACAGAAAAGAAAUUAAUUCUUACUUAUCAUUUUCGUGAUUCUGGUAAGCAAGUCAUAUGGAUUCCAAGUAAAGUUGAUGCGACUGGAUCUACACUUGUAUGCGCUUUUGAUACUGGUAUUAUACGUAUGGUUAUCGUUGCAGUACUAAUUGCUAAUGAACAGAAUAAUAUAAAAGAAAAUUUCACUAAAUUAGUUCAAGUUUUGAAACCACAUUCGCAAUCAAUUAACGUAAUGUCAGUGAAUCCAUCGUGCAGUUUAUUAGUAACAGGUAGUGAUGAUUCUACUAUAUUUGUAUUUAAUAUUUCUACUACUGUUACUUAUCCUACUCUUCAGCCAAUUGGUUACAUAAAUAUGCCUUCAGCGAUAACUUGUAUGACAUGGAGACCCAAAUAUGAAUCAAUGUUAUUGAUUGGAUGUAUGAGAGGAGAUUGGGCAGAAGUUCAAUUACCACAAUCACCGCAAUCAUAUAUUAAAAUUAGUUAUGAGCUUACACAUUGUAAACCAGCUGUAUUUAAAUUUCAUUCGGUAAAAUCAGCUAUAAGAAGAAAUAUAAUUAAGAAUGAGAUUGAAAAGAAAAAGAUGAUCAAAGUAGCAAAGAAACGUGAAGAAAUGGAGAAAAUAAAAGAAGCAAAUCCUGGCAUCGAAAUCGAUGAAGAAGCUUUCCUUAUGGACUCCGAAGAGGAACCACCUCUUCCAGAAAUUUAUAUCCCAGAAAUACCAAACAAAAUUUUAAUGAUUCAAUAUACCAAUCAAGAAACAGUUUGGUUAUCAAUGGCUGGUUUUGAUGCAGGAUAUAUGUAUGAGUAUCCAGUACCAAAAAAAGACAUAAUUAUAGGAGCAGAACCAAUAAAAUCUACUGUGAUCUAUGAUGCGGAUGAUACAGAAAUACGAAGUUGUCUUUCAUAUAAACAAGAUAAAUAUUUGUUUUUGGGUAUGGAACGUGGUGAAAUAAGAAUUUGUAAAAUUAAUCCACAAGAUUAUAGCGAUCUUUCAGAUUAUUGGAUUUUACCUAUGCAUGACAAUUACAAUGGAUACAUACCAAAAAUGUUACUCAGUUAUGAUCAUAAAAUGUUUCUUACAUGUGGUUAUGAUGGAAAUCUUUUUUCUUAUAAAAUCAAUGAUAAUACUGCUGAUGAAAUAAUAGAAAUACCAAAACCAAACAUACCUGUGCGAUUGUUGGAUGAUAUAAACAGUGUGGAAGAUAUUGAAGAACCUGAUUAUCCUACUCUUGAAAAUGUUAUUGUAAAAACUGAACAUGACAGAGUCUCAGCGCUAGCAAGAAAGAAAAAAGAACAAACUCUUCAGACAUUACAUGAAUUAACUGAAGAAUAUUCCAAAAUAAUGGAUAGGAAUCGUAGUCUAUUAAAAUCACAGCAAAUUCCACGCGAAGAUUUGGAAUUAGAUCCACGAAUCACUACUGAUUUAAAUAAGCAAUUGGAAAUGGAAAUGGAUUUGGUACACAGAAAAGAAGCAUUUCAGAUUGAAAAGAGUAAACUUGCUUUAAAAAAGCUAAUGGAUCAUUUUAUUGAACCUAUUACUUGUGUACCUUUUGCUGUUUCUAAAAUACUAAAACCGGACACAAUGGUACACUCGAUACGAGAACAUAAAUUGGAUAGUAACUUUGAUAAUAUUUACACAGAAGUUGUCAAUUGCAUUACAAGAAGUAAAAAACCAACAAAAAAAGUGAAAGAAAAAUUAGCAACAGAAGAAAUUGAAGAACAAGAAGAACAAAGAGUAAGAGAUGCAGAAAGCUUCCUGAAAAGUCUUAAUCUUUCUGGUAUAGAGCAUAAGCUAAGUACACAAAUAAUUCAUAUGUUAGAAAAAUAUAAAACACGGAAAGCAAAAUUGGAAGAACGUCAAAGAGAAUGGAAUUUAAUGUCAACAAAAAAAUUUGAUUCUAAUAUAAAUCAUGCAGAUGAUAUAGCAGCUAUUGAAUUGGCAAAAAAAACGAUCGGUGUAUACAAUCUGAAAGAUUCGCCACAAUUAAAUGUACAAAAUCAGAUAGAAAAUUUAACGAUGAUAAAAUACAAGCAAUAUUUAGAUUGCAAAAAAAGGCUUCAUCAUCUACGUGAUAAUUUCAAUACAAGAUUAAAGGAAGUUCGAGGAAAUAAGCAGGUUUUGUGUUCAAAAGUUGUGAAAUUGAAUGAAACGUUAAACAAAAUUCAUGCGGAAAUACCCAAAAAAAAUAUUAAAACUUUACCCAAUUUACCUAUAAUUGACAAUGAUAUUGAAUUUCCUGAAGAAAAUUUAAAAUUUGAAAAAUAUAUAUCAAUGGUGGAACAAGCAAAGGAAGCUAAACAUUACAGAGAAUCAAUAUUUUUAUAUGAAAUUCCUGAUUUAAUGGAUGAUACAAUGGAUGAAGAAUAUGAAGUUUUAUUAUUAAAAAAUGAAAAUAUUCAUGCAAGUGAAGAAUUUAGUUUAUCAAGUAUUAUAGAUGUACCUGAAAGGAAAAUUAAAGUCAAAUCACUUAUUCAUCCAAAGUUAUCUCAAGGAUUAGAUUCUGCUGAUCACGUCGAAACAGCAUGGGAACGUGAAAUGAAACAAUCUCGUAUGUUGCGUAAAAUUUAUGAUCAAGAUUGUAUUUUACAAUAUAUUGAAACUUCUUACAAAGAAUUUGAUAAACAAUUGGACAGACUAGAAAAGGAAAGACUUGACAUUAUUGUGGAAAGUGUAUACGUAGAAUUACACUUGCUAACGCUUCAUCAGGAAUUUAUCAUAUUGAAAGAUUACGAAACGAAAGAAACUUCAUUAAAAAAGAAUGUCAAUGAAAAAUUAGAAAAACAAGCUGCUAUAAAACUAAAGAUACAUACAACUAGUAAUAAAAUAGAACGUAAAAAGAAAAGUAUUAACAGAUCACAGGAAUCAAUAAAAGACAUUUCUUACGAAUAUAUGACGAGUAUUAAAGAUAAUAAGUUUCAAGACUUUUUACGUAAAAUAUUUAAAAAGAAAUUCAAAUUGCCAAAAGAGCAUAACGACUCUGAAACAUCGAGUACUACAACGACUGAAACAAGUUCAGAAGAAGAUGAAGAAGGAAGCGUAGACAGUAAAGAUAUUGGAUUUAUUUAUUUUGAUGAGAAUAUAUGCCCCAUAGGCUGUGACAAAGCGUUAUAUGAUAUGGCAUUUGUUAUGAGAGAAAAACGUUAUGAAUAUGAGAAUGAAAUUAAAGAGGAAUACAAGGCGAUAGAAAAAUUACAAAAGGAAGUAGAAAUGGAUACCAAAAAAUUAAAAAUCAUUGAUGAUUUACUUAAAACGAAUGUCGAAGAAUUGGAAAAAUUUAUGUUGGAGAAACAAAAGAAAUUAAACGACAUAGAUGUAACGAUAGUUCUUAAAUUUCAUCAAUUGCAACAUUUUAUUAAUUCUUAUAGCGUGUCGAGCAUACGAGAAUCUAUUAUAUUUGAUAAAACAAAAUUAUCUCAAUUACACGAUAGAGUGGGAGAAUUACAGCAAGAAACAUACGACUUAUACGCUAAACAAAAGGCCAAUAAAGUUCAUCUUUAUAGAAUGAAAAUUGAUUGUAAACAUAUGAGAAAUGAAAUUAAAAAUUUAAAGAAUGAAAUAAAAGAAGAAAUGAAAAAGAAAUUUGGCAAAACAAUAUCAUUAACGACUAUGUAUGAAACAGUAUUACAAAGAAUGAUCUAUAAUAUUAAAAGUGAUUUAACAGAAAUGAUGAAAUCAUAUGAAGAACAACUUAAAUGUGUAUUCAAGAAAAAUAUAAUUCACAGCAAAUGGUGUUACGAAAACUUAUCCAAGAUAAUACAGAAAAAUUAAGUUUUUUAACUGUUCUAGAGGAAGAACAAUUAACUCUUAGAAAAGUUUUAAAACAAGUUCCUAUAUCCGAGGAAGAAAUGUUAAAAGUAGAAUUACAGUACAAAGCAGACAUAGUCAAAUUCGAAAACAUUAUUGUUCAUCAAAAAAAACAAAAAGAAAU